rnacentral:rRNA from 1 species
UACGUAGGUGGCAAGCGUUGUCCGGAUUUACUGGGCGUAAAGAGCGCGCAGGCGGUCGUUCAAGUCGCGUGUGAAAGCCCCCGGCUCAACUGGGGAGGGUCACGCGAUACUGAUCGACUCGAAGGCAGGAGAGGGAAGUGGAAUUCCCGGUGUAGUGGUGAAAUGCGUAGAUAUCGGGAGGAACACCAGUGGCGAAGGCGACUUCCUGGCCUGUUCUUGACGCUGAGGCGCGAAAGCUAGGGGAGCAAACGG